GUCUCUUGCGAUACUUCGAAGCGUUACCGUCAUCGUCUUUUGCUUUUUCAAAAGUAUUUAUUCACGUAUAAUGUGAUAUAGAGUUUUAGUUAGACUGAAAAGUUUAAAAAGUUGAUACGUAGAAUAUCGGUUAUUAGAAAUAUGCAUUUAUGAAGUCACGUGAUAUCAGUGAAUUAAUGAACAGCCAAUCGGAUCACGGUCGGUCCGAAAUUCUUCUCAUUUUCGCGGCAACAAGGCGACCAUGUUGUUACCGGAACGUUGUGAUCCUGAUAUUUUUUGCUUUCCCAACAAUUGAUUUUCAACAACAUCAAAUUUUCAUCUAGAUCAUGCAGGAAAACGAUCCUAGAAUAACAGGAACGCGUAGAGGAAGAGCAGAAAAGAAAUAUACGAGCAGAGCAGCCUCCUACAUCUCCUACAACCGAGUGAGUUUCUUCCACGUCUCUCAGGCUUCUCGGAAAUCUUUCCUGACUGCUUCUGGAUUUAGUCGGUGAACCGUCACACACCUUGUCCGAGAAACGUCUCCCAACGGCAUCCAUGCAUAAAACAUGUUGAUAAGAUAAUGAGACAACGAUGGAAAUUUAGAACGAAUGGAAGAUAGAUCGACGAGUGUGACGUUCACCAUACACCGAAGAAACUGGAAAACAAGAGAUUGUUUCUAAAACCGAGAACUUUCAAUGAUUAUGGGUUUUCGACUUUCCAUUGGAAAAACCGCUAAUGCUCAACCGAGAUAGAUGGUAAAUUUCGUUUAAACUUCUCCGACAAUCUUCUUCAUCGUGGGGAAUAGAAGAGGAGGUGAGGAGGGAGGGGGAGGGGGAGAAAUAAAUAUUUGAGAGCGGCUGAAGAAGAUCUAGGGGCCUUACCGACGACGACGUGCUCAGUCUAGUUUGCAAAUUCAAGCAUCUCGAGAGAAGACCUACGACGACAACGAGGAGGAGAAGAAGAAGGAGAAAGAGGUGGUGGAGGAGCAGAAGGAGGAGGAGAAAGAUCGAAAACGCCGGAGGUCCUAAGCGACGCGAUUAUUUAACUUCCAACGUAAAAUGUAUAUACUCAUUAAAGUGGAUGUUGCCUAACACAGCAUCUCGGAUGAAACGCUCGCGCGCACAUCUUCAGGGGGGCUCGGUCGUGUGUACUGGAAGUUUAAUCGUUCGUAAAUUGAGAGUAGCGCGAGCUAUUAAGAGGUUAACCCAACGGGUAGGAGCGGGUAUAUUUGCAUGCAGUAUCGUUGCCUUAAUUGUUUCUAAAUUAAGGCAACGCCUCGUGUCCGGCGUGCGAGAGAAAAGGAAUCGCCUCUCUCUCUCUCUCUCUCUCUCUCUCUCUGUCUGUCUGUCUGUCUGUCUUUCUUUAUAGCAUCCUCGUUCGCUUCAUUAGCUCGACGAAAUACAGUCGCCUCGAAAUCACCGCAUUAGCAAUGAUGUCAAACUUUUUGCCAACUCGACGACCGUUCGAGAACUUUAAGAGACGUAUCGGACAUAUUGAGAUCUUUAACGAUCAUAAUAUUCCUUGAGAAGUCUCAUUUAUUCCGUAGAUUUUAAAAAACACUAAAGCGACACAUCGGGCGUCGUAUCUCUUUGAACAAUGAGCUUUCUCUUUCGCCUUUGAAGAAACGAGAGGGAGAGAGAGGAAAGAAGAUUCGCAAAGUCGGAGGCAAACGAACUCGAGUUUCUUACAGCUCGAGCAUGGUGCUGCUCGCGUGGUGCCGAGCUAUCAAUUUAAUCGUCGCUUGAUGAAUGGAAGGAUCGGUUUUCUUAAAGUGCCGGUUUCUCUCGACCUAUCUCGUUCUCUUCUUUUCAACUACCUCCUUCUUUCUCCCGAGUCUUCUUGUAUGUACUCUCUCGAGGCAACGUGCGCGCGAGCAAAGCGUUUCGAGAGUCAUAUAUCCGUGCCGCGGCGCGCCCUUAAAUUAUGCGCGCAAUUACGUGUACCUGCAUCGCGUAAGUGCAUCGAGCUACGGAGUUGCACGCACCCGAGUAAAUGCAUCUCCUCUCUCUCUCUCUCUCUCUCUCUCUCUCGAUAAAGGCACACCCAAGAGAAUGUUCAACCUAGAAGGAUUCACUUUUACAUUUUUCCUUGGUAUAUUAAAUUUUUUAUUUAUGAAUUAUAAUAUCACCUUUAAUUCGUCCAUUUACACGUGCAUGCGCGUUGCACAUAUUAUUAUAUUUUCGUUCGAAUUUGUUUGCUCCUUUGGAAAGUUAUACGACGAAACGAUCGUCCACUUCGUAAUAACCCUUUUAACUGUCUAAUAAGGGUUAUUAUACGCGUGAAUCGAACGAGUCGGUUUAUAUUCAGCGAUCUUUAAAGAGCAGAGGUAAAAACGCGUGCCUUAGGUCGACAGCUUGAAAAUUCUGUCGUGUGAUUAUAGAUUCACGAGCCGACGAAACCGUUACUCGUUCGGGACUUCUAUACCACCGUGAUUCGAUUUCUCUGUUCUCCGGCACCUCUCCGAUCCCGAGGCGAGGAAGGAAGCUUCAAAAAAGAAAAAAAAGAAGAAAAAAGAAGAAGUCGAUCGGGGAGCCACCAUCCUUUCUUUCUCUCUUUCUCUGCUUUGAAAGCGAUGCUAUUCUUCCAUUCCUCUCUCUCUCUCUCUCUCUCUCUCUCUCUCUCAUUCUGUUACGAGAGCAUCUCCCGUGGAACGCCUGUAUAAAUUUCAGCACGUACACGGGUACACGCACACGCAUAAAUUCCACGUGCCCCUCGGGGUACACAGCGCACACGUAAAACAGUGCCUCAACUCGCGGGCUACGCCGGAGAGAUACGCAUAAGCAUGCGGCAGCAAGAUAGAAAGCGAGAGAAAGAUAGCUGGAAAAAGACAGAGAGAGAGAAAGAGAGAGAAAACGAAAGAUGGAGGAGGAUAGAAAGAAGGAGGGACCUGCGUGUUCAAACAAAAGUAAGCCUGCAACCUGCACCUCGGCUGCGCAUAAUGCGCUUCUUACUCUUUGCGAGUACUUCUAUCUUUUCUCUCUCUCUCUCUCUCCUUCUUUCUCUCUAUCUUGCACGAAACCACCUACAUUCUCCUAUCUCUCCUUCCUCCUUGCCCUCGUGCACCUCGUACCCCGUAUCACACCGUCUCCGUCUCGUCUGAAUUUCUCUCCUUUCCUUCUCUCCAUCUCUGAGAGAUCUUUUCCUCUUCGUUUUGCCGAUGUUACACGCCGCGAAGGUAACAUCCGGGCGAAUGUCUUCUUGUUGCCAGGUGUGCGAGCGAACGUACUUACCUUCUUUAUUUCUUUUGCAUUUAUUAGUCUUAUUGUGUUAGAGUCGUUUCAUAUGUAAUCGAUCAUUUUUCGUUCUUUCUUUCUUUCUUUCUUUCUUUCUUUCUUUCUUUCUUUUUUCUUUUUUCUCUUUUUUUUUUCUUGCUUCAAGUAAACACUUCCGACAUUUUAUUCGGAAUACAUUUUUAUUCGAGAUCGGAUAACUGUGUACCUUUCGUGACUCGGCACGACGCAUGCGAGAGGAUUUUUGUUUUGUUUAUAUCUCUCCUCUCCUUUUUCCUUUUGUUCUUCUUCGAAAUAUUAAGAAUUAUCUUAAUUCCAAAAUACAUCUCUUUAGAGAGGAGAAAUAAUAUUUAAUGCGAACGAUAAACGAUCUGCUACGUAAAAUAUGUGUACGUACUUACGUGCCAUCGACGAAGAACAGGGGAAUGAUCGAUUUGAAUAUAAUCGUUCUCGCGCUGUGUAAAAUAUUAUCUCGCUGGAAUAUAUUUUAUUUUUCGAAACGAACCGCCUGUAUGUGUACGUAGAUACCGAUAACUCCCGAUCACCUUGUUUGAGUUUGAAUAUUUCAUUUGAUUUAUUUUUCGUUGAUCUUCCUUUAAACGAUAUAUCCCCAAGUAUGUUUACCUUUAGAGAUAUUCAACGUUUCUUUAUCGUAAGAAGUUAGUUGUUAAUACGAACGCGGACUAUCGACUGUUAUUGUGGUUACGUAUUUUCCAGGAAAUUCGUUCUCGUGCGAAAACGUAAACAAAACAUUGUCGAGCGUUCGACUUUACAGUGGACCAAAGGGAAUAUCCAUUCUCAGUGUAAUACGAUAUCUGUUGGCAAGAGCAUCGUUUGGCUUCGUACGAGUAUAGCGAUUUCGUCAUUUCGAUUUACAAGUAAUUUCAAGGCACAGGAAUUUCGAUCUAACUCGUUUUCGUAAUCUAUUCGGCGAUCAACCUUUCUAAAUUUCGAUCUACAAGACUUGGACGAGUACGUUGAAUCUAUCGUCGAAAAGUUUCGUAAAUAAUUCUUAUGCGAGCGUAAGAGAGGAAGAAAAAAAGGAAGAAAGAAGGAAAGAAGGAAAGAAAGAAAAAAAAAAAAAGAAAAAGAGAUAGAAACGUUGAACGUCGUCUCAUUGAUCGCUUCGCGUCCAUUGAAUUCUGAAGGAGCGAAAGAGGAGAAAAACGAGAGUGGGUUCGAAAAGAAGAAUCGUGCCGUAACUUCCCUCGUUCGUCUCCUCGAGAGCACGAUACUCCGACGUUCUUCUUCGUGACUUCUUGAAAAUAACGGAAUAAUUGAAAGACAAGUAUGAGCUCCGUAGGUAGGCACUGAUGAAGCCGUUGAGAAAAAGAGAGAGAGAGAGAGAGAAAAAAAGAGAGAAAAGAUAUAUAGAGAAUAGCGUUAGGAAGGGUUUGCAAUUUUUACGACCCUUUCCACCAAGCUCUCUCUCUCGAGAGAGAGAGAGAAAGAGAAGAAGAAGAAGAAGAAGAUUCUCGACCCAAUAAUCCGUGUACCGAACCAGGAAGAAAAGGUAUCUAGCUAUGUAUCUACGUGCAUUGAACGGCUUUGCUCGAGCUUCUUGCCAACGUUUUUCCUUCUUUUUUUUCUCUCUCUCUCUUUUUGCUCUCUUUCUCUCUCCUUCAUUUCUAAUCUCUCACGUGCGUUAACUUCACACGUUUUCGAGCACGUAGAAUAUCGCCGGUUACAUCACGAACAUUCUAGGAAAUAAAUUUGUUCGGUUCGGCUCCGAAUUCUCCGCUAACUCCAUUCUCGUUUCGUUUUUACUUGGCUCUCAAGACCCUUUUCGAUCGAACGCCGGUAUCAAUUCGAAUUGAUUUUUAUUGACCGCAAUUCGGUCUAUCGCCGUUCGACGUCAGAAAAUAAGGAGAAAGAACAUCGUACUCUGCUAGAAAUCGAGAUAGGCUUCUUCCCUCUUUCCGGAUAAAUCGUUAGCUCGGGAAGUGCGCGUCGCUUGUCGAAUCGAAAUCGAAUUAUCUCUCGUUUCUUUUCGUACCCUCGUUAUUGCGCUUCUGUCUGUCUGUUCUGUUUAAUCGAUCGGUCGUUCGAGGUUCGCUUGAAAAAAAAGGAAAAAAGAGAACGAAGAAGAAGAACAACAAAAAGAAGAAAAAAAAAAGAGAAGAGAAGAGAAAAGAGAAAGAUAGUGGAAACGUUUAUUGUCUAUCGUCGUUGAAAGUCGCAAUGGCGAAUCGCGUAAAUCUAAGACGAGGAAUCCGACAUUUGUAAAAGGAAAAAAGAUGAAAAGAAAGAAAGAUGCAACUAUCUGCUGUAACUAUCGCGUUUCAUUGAUAUAUGGCAUAGAAAAAGUGAGACAAGUAUGUUCGUCAAACAUCUUGCGAGCAUCGAGGUGAGCAUCGAGAAGAGAAUGGCUAAGGAAAAAGGUGUAGUUGAGAGUUUCUCUAGGAGAGCGUGCAUCGGGUCGAUCAGAUAACCACGAGAUAGUUAAUAACCUCGUUCAGCCACCGUCUGAAAUUCCACGAUCGGUUCCUGUUAUUAAGCUCUCCUGCCUCGGCCAGGCCGCGCCGCCUCCUCUUCGAGUUAUUUUCGUAGCGAAGGCGAUCGCUGCAAUUAGAGAUUAAUCGUCGUUAGAUCGGAUCGCUGAUCGGUAUUUAAGAUCACGACAUUAUCUCCUUCUCUCUUUCUCUCUCUCUCUCUUUCGAUUGUAUCUUUCUCCGUGAAAGAGAAAAAUCAACAGGUGGAUUCUUCUUUGAAUAUCUCAGAGUUUCCAUAAAGCGAAUUUAACCUUUCGCGAAAAUCGAUAUUUUUAAUAGAUAUUCGAUAAUCAUCGUAUUAAUCAAUAUCGAUGAAACGACGUAAUUUAUUCGUUCUAGUUAACGUGAAAAAGUUUAGAAAGUUUAGCAGGGAAAUGAUCGAAGCAUCCUUUGGACGAACGUUUCGCGUCGUAGUAUUUUUUGUCACGGUGAAUUCCUUCGAAGAAGCCAAGGUAUUUCUCGCACCCUUUUCUCCUCCGACAGUCGUCCUAUCGCACGCGCAUCAUCCUUCUCUCGCACGAUCUCGAAUCUCGUCAACUUAAUCUCCAGCUCGUUUUGUACUAACGACUCGAAGCGCACCCUUUACGAAGAAACAAAAGGGAAAACUAUGGGGUGUACAAGGAUCGUGUACGACGAAAAGAAAAAAAACAAGAAAAAAGAAAUGUUGCAGGACAUCGAAGGCGCAUGCUCGACAGUUCGAACCUGUUUCAGGUUCAGGAUAUCGCGCUGAAUCUUUCCUUCUCCUUUGAUUUACGCUUUUUCUUUCGGGCAAAUCCAAAGCAAGAUCUUUCUUCAGUUAAAUGCUACUCUCGUUUCGUUGAUCCUUUUUCUAUCUUUUCUUUUCUCUUUUCCUUUCUUCUUCUUCUUCUUCUUCUUCUCUUCUUACACGCAAUUGCAUCGUGCGAUUGCAAUAAUUUUUCUAACUCGGUUUUUCUACGAAAACAAUUUUAUUCGACGUGAAAUAUAUAUAUAUAUAUAUAUAUAUAUAUAUAUAUAUAUAUAGCGAUCGUGACUAGAAUUCAAGUAUAAUAUAAACGCGGAGAAAAAUAGGUGUGACAAGGAUAGAUACGUGAUUCCCUCUGAAGCCGUCUGCGGUAAGCUUCGUGGUUGGAUAAACUGCCUCGUGCGAGACUCAGCUUAGUACCGAAGAAAAUUGCCAAAUAAUUUCGUUCGUUUUUCUUUGCUCUCAUCCAUCCAGACGCACGCACAUCCCACGUUCAUGAGAAUUUUCGAAGAGAAAAUCGUGAUUUUUAUCUCGUUUAUUUUUCUCUCCGAGUAAGUUUAGUUAUUCGAUUUUAGCGGACGCGUUCACUCGUAGAAUAUUUUCCGAGUUUCUUCGUCGGAGGAAAAUUCUUUAGCGCGAGUAUCCGUGGAAAAUUGUUGUUUGAAGUUGCAUCGAGUUAAUUUAUUAAGUAAAAUACUUGAUAAGAUCGAGGAGUCGCAGGCGUGCGCGCGCGUGCCUGCGUUCUCAAGUUUAUUGAAAUCAGCAACGAGUUAAAAUUUCAAGAUAGGCAUCGAGAAAGUCCGUAGGGUAAGGCGGGUAGUUAAUGAACGAAGUAGAUGCUUCGUUCCAUGAGUAGAAAUUUGCACGUACCAAGUGGAUACUUAGAAGUAGGAGCUCUCAGCUUUGAGAAGAGUAUCUACCCAUUAUUUUUCGAGAUACCCAAACUAACGCGACGGAUUUAUCGAUCCUUAUUGUUAUAUUAAUUUCUCAUAAGAUAGAUGCUCUUAUUUGAAUGAAACGUGAGACUACACGCGUGCACGUACAUUUAAGCGCGUAUCGUCGUUCAAAAAGGAAAAAAGAAAAAAGAAGGAAACGAAGAGAAAAGAGAAAGAUGAAAGAAGAAGAAGAAAAAGAAGAAGAAGAAAGUAAAAAAAGAAAAAAAAAAAGAAAUUGGCGUUACGUUCACGAUGGAAGAAGUAUCGUACGAGAGAAGAGGCACCUCUCAGAAAUUAUAAAGAAGGUAGUAGUACCGUGCUAUUAGCCAUGUAUACCAGAGAAAUUAUUCUCAGCUCUCGCAGGUGCUUCGUCCGUUUCCAAUCACUUCGUCUCUCGAUAAUCGUGCACCACCAAUCGAGCCUAUUGCCAGAUGCGCGAUAAUUAUCGUGGUAGGACGAUAAUCUCAUUACGAAAUUAUAGCGUGACGAGACCGUUAUAUAUCGUACCGAACGUCUUUUUGCUAAUGAAGUAUCGAUCGAGACGGAUCGAUCUUCAUUAUCGAAAAUUAUUUCAAUGGGCCAAACUGCGAUAGUGUUUUUGUUAUUAUAGUCUCUCUCUUUUAUUUCUUUUUUAUUUAUUUAUUUAUUUAUCUUUUCAUUAUUUCCAUUUCUUUCCGAUAGCAAUAUCGUCGCAGGUGCGUACUCCCGAGUAUUGCCUGUUACCAGCUCCGCGCCAACCACCCACGCAUGUGAAAAUUCCGACGAAACGAGCAACCGAAGCGUUGGAGCAUUAAUAACUUUGAACCACGGGGGGGGGGAGGGUUUUGCUUCUUUUUUACUUCGUUUGUUUCUUCGCGCCGCGUAGGGAUCGAGAAAGAGAGGGAACGGAAGAGACAAGCGGUAGUGCCAUUACAAGGAAUAUUAAUUAUCAAUAACGGCCGUUCUACGUUUCUUUCGAGAAAAGAAAAGAGAAGAGAAGGGAUAGGACCGUGUCCGAGAGGGCAUCGAAUUCUUCGACAAUUAAAUUACGCGUUAAAAUUCGCCAUGGGAAUUACUUGGGAAAAAUUAUUAGAUCUGACCACCCAGAAAGACGACGAGUAGGAAGUAUCCACUCGUUAUUAACUUUUUUUUCUUUCUCUUUCCAUAGAGGACAAAGUCUCCAUGAAAAAGAAAUAAAAAAAAGUAUUUAAAGAAUUUCGUAAUCCCGAGGAUCGUAAGGAAAAGCAGAUAAAUUGGGUGCAUCCUCGAGGGCCCAAUUUGUCCGCUUUUCUCACGCUCGCGAUAAAAUUCUUUGGCCGAGUAAAUAUCUAACCUGUUUAAAGCGACCCACUAAUUCUUUAUUCUCUCUUGAACGUUCGCUCGGGGAAAGGUGGAAGAUGCUUUCGAUUAAUUAUUCCGUGAGCGUCGGGAGCCAGCUCGAAAUUAAAAUCGGUUCGUUAACCGGUACUACGUGGAAUUUUUUCUUAAUUCGUGAGACCGUUCCCGAGCUACCGAUUACCAUCCCUUUGCGUCCUCCUACGAAAAGGAGAGGAUCUCUUCGCUCUUCUAUGAUUCUAAUGAGGCGUCGAAAAAACGAACGGACCCUCCAGAAACUUUAUGGCGCUACCGUAACGUUUAUUUCGAUCCAACCUCUUCGUAAAUCCAACGAAAAUCGGUGAUCGUGCUCUCGAUAGGUUUAAGUCGAUGUCCUCGACUGUCAACGAGUUACGAGGGAUUUUACGCGAGGGACAUCAAAGUACCGAAAUGUGAACUUCGAUCGGACUUUUAUUGCUCGGGAACAGAUUUUUAUCGGGAUCGUUAGAUCUAACGGCCUGCUUGAUCGUUCCUUUCUACUUUCUUAUUCGAUUACAGUUUUUUCAACUUGUACCGAUUAUCCCUCGAGACAAGAUCCUCGAUGUCUCUUAAUCUUGCGCGGCUAAAUUUUUAUUCUUCAAUUAGCGUCACUCUUCAAUUAAGUUCAUCUUCGUCGUCUUGGUAUAUUCCGCGGUCCAUCGCGUAGCGAAAAAAUGGCCAACUCUCUUCAAAGACACACAGAGAGAGAGAGAGAGAGAGAGAGAGAGAGAGUAGCGUGCUUGUGCACUUAGCCACCUUAAACGGAUUACUCGGCGCAUAUCUUGCUGCUUUUCGUUGAAAUGGAGAACGGUGUUGUGCUAGCUGUGCCUAGACUAAUUCAAUCUCGAGCCACCACCCAGACAACGUUUCUCCAUGGAUCCGUCAUACUCAUAUGUAUCUACGUAUCCACCGAGGACGCAUAAUUGAUCGAGUUACAUAGCUCGUCUGAGUCAGUAAUGACGUUCUCUAACGAAGAACGAGAGUGCUUGCUUCAUCAACGAGAGACUUCUAGUUCUUCUAAUUUCCUUUCUCUUUAAACGCUUAGCUUUUACGAACCAACGAGAGAGAGAAGGAGAGCAGCCGAUUUCCAAUCUAUCAAUUUCCUCGAAACGAGGCUAACGAGUGAAAUUCGAAAAUACUCGCUACUUUUUCUUUAAAUAGCCGUCAAAUUUUAGCGUACUAAAGUUUCUGAUCCCAUUAUAAGAUUGUUAAAUAUUUGAUCGUCAGAUCGUUAUCGUUAUUAAAGCCUGGCAAUAAAAAGUUUUUUUUCCCAAACUCCUACCCGUUGAUACCUGACUCGGGUCGGCGGGUUGCCUUUGAAAUCUAGAAGGAUAACUUCUAACUGUACACCUUUUUCAUCUAAUAGUCGAACCGUGAAACACACGCCACGUAGUCGUCGUGUCGUGUCGUGUCGUUUCUAACGAGCUUGAAUUUAAUGACAGUCUUCCGGAGUUCUCUUGGAAAGCUAAAAGGUCUUUACCAUUUUUAAGAGAUCAUUCUCUGUUAUUUUAUUUAUUGCGACAAGCAUUCAUCUCGUUCCCAUGUCGUUACUCUUUGCAAAAUACUUUGCCUCGGUACUUAGUGCCUACCCACGUGAAAUAUAUUUCAAAAUUUAAAUGGAAUUGUUAUAUAGGUACGAGGAAAGAAAUAAAGAUCACGGUCAUUAUACGUAUUAACUGCAGCUUACACAAAUUGGAAUGCGGUCGAAGGGAAAGGGCUCGAAAGAGAGGAUUCGUUCGUCGGGAGGACAAUUAACCUUUGGGUCAGCUGUCGGCAGCACGGCUAAGUUCACUUUUCGUUCGGGGAUUUCUGCUCGUGCCUUUCGAGGAGGCUAUCCGGUUCGUUUCGUCGUUGUAGGACGAAAAGGGUUCGAGUAGAUUAGCUAAUCUGAGAAAUAGGGAUGGAGGGAAGGUCGAAGAAAGAAAUCAACGACCGAGAUUUCAUUAGAGAUAUUUUCACCGACGAUGACGAUUAAAAAAGAAGAAAAAAAAAAAAUAGAAAAAAGAAGGAGAAAGAGGAAUAGGAAGAAAAAGGAUCGAUCGAAGAAGCGACAAGAUCGAAACACACGCUCUGUCUCUCGAGAUUAGGCGUGUUAAGGUAGACAGAAAACGCGUUACAUAGCUCACAAAUCGGGGGAGUGGGUGAUAAAGCAGGUAUCGUUACAGAACGCUAGAAAGUUAGACUAGUCGCGCACAAACUCGUCCUACGCUUAAGAUUCUUUUUCGUUCGAUAUUCCAAGAUCUAUGUUAUCGUCGAAGGACGAGGAUUUAAAAGAAAUGAAAUAUAUAAAAUCCCUUUAAACGUA